AAGCAGACUGUGGUGGAAUAGAGAUGCUGACCUGCUCUGAAGAACUCAGUGAAAAGGGGACGGCGACGGGGAGAGCCGUGGGACCGGGAAGGACGGGAGACGCGGCCGGCACUGCAGCCUUUUGUUCCGGCCAGAGGUGGGUGUUUGUCCCGCUGCCUUUUGUGCCGGCUCCUCGCGCUUGCCCUCCCGCGCCGCCGCCGCCGCCGCCGCCGAAGGGCAGGAGCUAGGGCCGGGGGAGGAGGCGGCCGGGGGCACGCGGGAGAGGGAGGGAGGGAGCCCGGACU
rnacentral:lncRNA from 1 species